GCCGGUCCUCGGUAGUGGCCCCCGGGUGGUUCCACCCCCGGUGGCUUCGAUCGAAGACCGGC
rnacentral:ncRNA from 1 species